UAACUACUCCCUCCGUCCCAAAAUUCUUGUCUUAAAUUUGUCUACAUAUGAAUGUAUCUAGUCACAUUUUAGUAUUUACAUAAAUUCAUUUCUUGACAAACUUAAGACAAGAAUUUUGGGACGGAGGGAGUACAAU
rfam:Hordeum vulgare subsp. vulgare, WGS project CAJW01000000 data, contig: morex_contig_2640126